rnacentral:rRNA from 1 species
AGUGAACGCUGGCGGUAGGCCUAACACAUGCAAGUCGAACGGCAGCACAGUAAGAGCUUGCUCUUACGGGUGGCGAGUGGCGGACGGGUGAGGAAUACAUCGGAAUCUACUUUUUCGUGGGGGAUAACGUAGGGAAACUUACGCUAAUACCGCAUACGACCUACGGGUGAAAGCAGGGGAUCUUCGGACCUUGCGCGAUUGAAUGAGCCGAUGUCGGAUUAGCUAGUUGGCGGGGUAAAGGCCCACCAAGGCGACGAUCCGUAGCUGGUCUGAGAGGAUGAUCAGCCACACUGGAACUGAGACACGGUCCAGACUCCUAAGGGAGGCAGCAGUGGGGAAUAUUGGACAAAGGGCGCAAGCCUGAUCCAGCCAUACCGCGUGGGUGAAGAAGGCCUUCGGGUUGUAAAGCACUUUUGUUGGGAAAGAAAAGCAGCAGGUUAAUACCCCGCUGUUCUGACGGUACCCAAAGAAUAAGCACCGGCUAACUUCGUG